GCACCUACCGAUUGAAUGACUCGGUGAGAAAUUGGGACCGUGAGCCUGUUUGCUUCAUUGCGAGCGGAUUCGUGGAAACUUUUUCUAACCUCGCCAUUUAGAGGAAGGUGAAGUCGUAACAAGGUUUCC
rnacentral:rRNA from 1 species